GACGAACGCUGGCGGCGUGCUUAACACAUGCAAGUCGAACGGAAAGGCCUGCUUUCCCUUGUGGAUUGCGGGUGCUCGAGUGGCGAACGGGUGAGUAACACGUGAGUGAUCUGCCCCCAACUUGGGUAUAAGCCUGGGAAACUGGGUCUAAUUCCCGAUAGGACUGCAGGGUGGUGCCUGUGGUGGAAAACGAUUUUCUAGUGGUUGGGGAUGAGCUCGCGGCCUAUCAGCUUGUUGGUGGGGUAAUGGCCUACCAAGGCGGCGACGGGUAGCCGGCCUGAGAGGGUGGACGGCCACAUUGGGACUGAGAGACGGCCCAGACUCCUACGGGAGGCAGCAGUGGGGAAGAUUGCACAAUGGGCGGAAGCCUGAUGCAGCGACGCCGCGUGGGGGAUGACGGCCUUCGGGUUGUAAACUCCUUUCGACCGCGAGGAAGCCACCUGGUUGGAAGGGUGGUGACGGUAGUGGUAGAAGAAGCACCGGCUAACUACGUG
rnacentral:rRNA from 1 species